UAUCACACACGAGUAAAACGUAAACCGCGCGCAAGAAUUUCACUUGGCGCGACCGUUACAUUUGGAAAAAUACGUUAAAAGUACGGCACGUUAAGACACACUGAACAGAAGUAAAUCUAUUCGCUCCUAGAGUUUUGUACGCCUUGAAUUUUCGUUCCGGGCAAAGUUUUCAUGUGCGCGUAUUCGCUCGAGGAGGAUACGCAAUCCGUUCGGUAGAAUGUCGAUCGUGCCAAUAAUGAAACUUUACUAAUUGUCGCGCAAUCAUACAGAGAUACAAAACUCUAGGAGCAAAUUGAUUUACUUCUGUUUAGUUUAGCCUCGAUUCUUGGUGCUUUUUUCGGGUUUCGUUUCGUGAAGUCACACAGCAUACCACUGUUUUAAGUUCUAAUUGUAAGUAAAUUUUUUUUCAUGUAAACGAAAAUAGUGAUUGAAUAGGAUUCCUCGAAAAUCGCGUUCGGCCUAUUUGAUUUUAAGUGCAAACGCUUGUCCAAAGUUUUUUCCGUCAUCGAAAAAAAGCGAGGCUUCCGCUUCGAUGCUUCGGAUAAUCGCUUCUCGGAAAUCGUCGAGGCUCCGGGAUGCUUGUCCGAAGUUUUUUUCGUCGUCAAAAAAAAGCGAGGCGCCACUCAGGCGCCAGUCCCCUCGACGAAUUCCGAGAAACGAUUACCCGAAGCAUCGAAGCGGAAACUUCUCGGAAAUCGACGAUUUCCAAGAAGCGAUUAUCUCCCCUUUUCCGCGAAAUCCCGAGUCCGGCGACUCACGGUAGCCAAUCAGCUACUAGCUCCGCCUACUAUUCUCUCCUUCCCUCUUUCAAACGCUUCAACGGUUCCGGGCAGUCCGCGCGGACUGAGCUCAGUUGCCUGACGAGAGGGGGUCGGUGGGUCAGUUGUAUCGCGAAGCUUCGGGAGUGAACAUGUACGCUGCUCGUCUAUCGAAAAAGAAUAUCGCGAUCGCCUCGUGUGUGUGUGUGUGAGUGUGUGUGUGUGUGUGCGGUGUGAAGUGCAUCGUCAUUGCCUUCCUCAGGAUUAUCGCUGCUUCAGGAUUAUCUUCGCCGUUGCCUCCCUCUCUGCUUCAGGACGAUCGCUGCGAACGAGAGCAGUCCAGAUGCAAGUAUGAAAAUCCGAAAACGUGGCCGGCUGUCCACAUGGCAAUAUGGAACAUCUUUUCGCAUUGGGUAACUGACGAUGUCCUUGCAAUGGCACGACCCAAUACCGCGCAAAUAAUAAAGGAAGAUCUAAUUGCCCAGUUCCAAAGGUGGAGUAUAAAAACCAUAAUAAACUUGCAAACACGCAAGGUGAACACGCAAGUUGCGGUGAUCCACUAGAAGAGAGCAGCUUCACAUAUGACCCUAAUGUUUUUAUGAAAAACAACAUUUACUAUUAUAAUUUCUCGGUAUUCCGGAAAAAGAAU